GAUGAACGCUAGCGGGAGGCCUAACACAUGCAAGCCGAGCGGGAUUGUUUCUCCGGAAAUGAGAGAGCGGCGUACGGGUGCGGAACACGUGUGCAACCUGCCUUUGUCUGGGGGAUAGCCUUCCGAAAGGAAGAUUAAUACUCCAUAAUAUAUUGAUAGGCAUCAAUUAAUAUUGAAAGCUCCGGCGGAUAGAGACGGGCACGCGCAAGAUUAGCUUGUUGGUGAGGUAACGGCUCACCAAGGCGAUGAUCUUAAGGGGGACUGAGAGGGUGAUUCCCCACACUGGUACUGAGACACGGACCAGACUCCUACGGGAGGCAGCAGUGAGGAAUAUUGGUCAAUGGGUGCAAGCCUGAACCAGCCAUCCCGCGUGAAGGACGACUGCCCUAUGGGUUGUAAACUUCUUUUGUAUAGGGAUAAACCUACCCUCGUGAGGGUAGCUGAAGGUACUAUACGAAUAAGCACCGGCUAACUCCGUGCCAGCAGCCGCCGCGGUAA
rnacentral:rRNA from 1 species